GACGAACGCUGGCGGCGUGCUUAACACAUGCAAGUCGAACGGAAAGGCCCUGCUUUUGUGGGGUGCUCGAGUGGCGAACGGGUGAGUAACACGUGAGUAACCUGCCCUUGACUUUGGGAUAACUUCAGGAAACUGGGGCUAAUACCGGAUAGGAGCUCCUGCUGCAUGGUGGGGGUUGGAAAGUUUCGGCGGUUGGGGAUGGACUCGCGGCUUAUCAGCUUGUUGGUGGGGUAGUGGCUUACCAAGGCUUUGACGGGUAGCCGGCCUGAGAGGGUGACCGGGCACAUUGGGACUGAGAGAGGGACCAGACUCCUACGGGAGGCAGCAGUGGGGAAUAUUGCACAAUGGGCGGAAGCCUGAUGCAGCGACGCCGCGUGCGGGAUGACGGCCUUCGGGUUGUAAACCGCUUUAGCCUGUGACGAAGCGUGAGUGACGGUAAUGGGUAAAGAAGCACCGGCUAACUACGUG
rnacentral:rRNA from 1 species